rnacentral:lncRNA from 1 species
GAGCUAGUUGAUAGCAGAUUAGGUUCAGAUUUCAACAAAAAGGAAGCUCUGGUGGUGAUCAAUGCGGCUCUCCUAUGCACCAAUGUCACUUCAAACCUUAGGCCUUCUAUGUCGUCAGUAGUAAGUAUGCUUGAAGGAAGCACUGCAGUUCCCGAAUUUGUGCCAGAGUCAAGUGAAGUAAUGGAUGAAAAGAAAAUGGAAGUAAUGAGGCAGUAUUACUAUCAGAAGGAAGAAAAUAAGACAAGCAAGUUACAAACACAGAGUCGGCGUUUAUCAAAUGAUGGACCAUGGACUGCUACAUCUUCAUCAGCUGACCUUUAUCCUAUCCACCUUGAUUCUUCCUAUUUGGAGGAAAGAAACUAAGAUUGCUAGUAAAUAAUUUCACUGCCAACUUGAUGUCCUGCUAUUGUGUCUUGUGAUGAAACUGUGAUUUAUAUCUCUGGCAUUUUUUUUUACAUAUAUUAAGAUGUUACAAAUUUAUUGUUGAAUCAUUUUGAAGUAUGAAGUGCUUUCCUAAUGCAUUGGAUCUUCUACAUAAUGUAUAUAAGUCAUCUCUGAAAUAUGAUAUUGGUCAUUUUUAUUUCCUUGUAACAAUCUCCUCAUGGUUCAGCUCCUUGCAGUAGCUUAUGAGUUAUAUUUUUCAGGUAGUAACUGUUCCAAUGCUUUUUAUGAAUGCUAUAAUUGUUGAAGCUUAAAAAGUGGUGAAUAGGUUUUCCUUAAAAGAUCGCACAUCAAUUAUGCAUCUAUAUAUCACAUGUUUUUCACUUUUUACAUACCUUAUGUAACAUGCAAGCUGAACAUACAAAAAAUUCUACAUGAAUUUGUCAUGCGUAAGUUAUGAUAACCUAAUCAGCAUGAUUUAAAUAUACAAGCUGAUAAUUUUUCCCUGGUUUUAACUUAGGAUUGAUAUUUCUAUGAUUACCUGAAAUAAAGAUAAGACGAAGGAUUUAAGGGUUUAGUGAAUGAAGGGAUAUAACAUAUGUUCUGAACGGGCAGAAUUGGAUGGUUCCUCUGGUGGAUCUGAUGUACAUGGUGAUGAGCUCAAUUUUACAAUGAUUCAAUGAAAGAGUACCUGCAAAUAUGGGGUUUGCUGUUUAACUUUUGAUUUAGAGAGAAUGAACUUUGGGAAUUAUAUCCAUUAAAUGAUGAGGCAACAUAUUAUUGAAUGCAUGUGUAAAAAAACUUUACAGUGACGGUGCAUUCAAAUUAAACUCUAAUUAUAAAUGGCAAUAUUAAUUUUUCAAGACCUGCAUUUGGAAACAGAUCUUUUUGAAUAUUAACUUGUCCCAUAGGAGAUUUCUCUAUAAUAUAUUUGCAACUUUGCAAGGUUGUUAUAUUUAGGUGGAUGAUGCCAAAGAAAGACCCAAAAACGUGAGUGCACCUACCACACAUUGUAAUAAAGAUUAAAGAAUCAUCAAGGAAAAUACUCACAAGAUAAACUGAUCGUAACAUGCAGGGUCGUCUUGUUUUUCUAUAUAUAUAUAUAUAUAUAUAUAAUAAAAUACCAUAUUGAUUUUAAAUUGUGGAUGCGACUAUGGUUGUUGCGAUUGUGGUCGCUGCGGAUAAUGUUGUUGUGGCAAACUGGCUAAGUAUAAAUAUUCUAACAAAAAUACGACACAACCUCAUGUGUUUAUAACGUCAUUUAUCCAAACCUUAGGCUCAAACAAUCUACACAAUAUUACAAACAAAAAUAUUUUUCCACAACAGUUUGACACUAUGUUUUUAGUCGAUUCAUAAAUGUAAGGGUGAGCAGAAAGUAAUGAUCGUACCCGUAAAAUUCAAGCCAACCGUGAGUUUGACGGACGGGAAAAAACUGAGUGUCGGGUGCAUAAACAAAAAAGAAAGUAAAAAAUUAAGGUCAACUUACCACAAGCCCAUAAUGCAAAGCAAAGGUCAAGUCCAAUCUACAAAUUUUUCCUCGAAAGCAAGCCUGACUAUAGAAAACAAUAUAAUAUUAUAUUUGAAAGCUUCUCUUCCCAUCUUUUCUACCUCAAAAUAUGCAGAAAACUUCGGUAAAUAAAAACUAAAGGUUUUUUUAGUGUAAAUUUACACUGUGUAUUUUGGUGUAGAAAAAAAAAACGUGGGGUGGGAAGAGACACUUAGGACGCAGAAAACACACAUUAGAAAAUCAUGAGUUUCAUGUCAAAAAUAUUCAUAAAUCAUUUCUUUAUUUCUCUAGUGCACGAGAGUAUUUGAGGAAACUUUAUUCCGUAAAAUAUCAUUGAUCGAUAUGUUUGAUAUGUAUGUGCAAUUCAUGUCAAGGUUUCCAAAGUAUCCUGAAGGGGAUUCCUCGGUGAACCCAUUUGCAUAUGGUUUACAUAAACUUGUGGGGGAAAAUCAAACUUAAAGCUUAGUGUGUCCACCAUGUUCGUCUUCAUCAUCUUUUUGUUGAGUAUUUGAAGCGGUCCCCCCAACAUAAAAUGUUCUCACAAAAGAAGCUUUCAUUAUAUAUAAUGCCCCCAGUGCACUCUUUAAACAUUUUAUUUAAGAAUUUUUUUAUUGAGAAAGUUGAACACUACGAUUUUCAAUAGGUUAACUUUACGCAUUUCAUAAAAAUUCUAUAUACUUACUACUAUUUAAAGUAUUAAAGAGUAACCAGAACACUCGUCAUCAUUUGUCAUAAUAAUGUUAAUAAAACAAUUGUCUAAUACAUUAUUCUCACGUAUCUUCGUCAAAUGCCACAAGUUGGAAGUGUGAAACAAAAAUCGGAUUACGAAAUUUGGAGGACAAUUAAGAUUUUUUGUCAACAUAUUAUUUUUUAUAUUACUAGUAGUCUAAUAUAUUCAUAUAUUUAACUCAAGUAGUCAGCCUCCUUCAAGAAACUAUAUAUUUAACUCAACUACCCUCCUUCAAGUAGCCACCUUCAUUUUAAUUCUUAUAUAUUUUUAAUUCAUAUAUUUUAAUUCAUAUAUUUAACUCAAUUGUAGCCUCCAAGAAACCUCCUACAAGGAAAUGAGUAUCCCCUCUUUAUCCUCAAGAAACCUUAAAUUUUACAUUUCUAACUACAUACUUAUAUAUGUAUGCUGGCAAACAUGUUUAAGAUAUUUCAUUAAAUUUUGUCUAUUUUACAUUUCUAACUAUAUAAACACUUAUGAUUUCUCAUAAGUCAUAACCUGAUCCUUUCCCUUCAACUCUUUGUCAACAAUAUAUACACAAACAUAACAUAUAUAGUCUUUUUCUCUUGCUAUUUAAUUUCUUAAUAUACCAUCCUUUCACUUUCACAUUCAAAAGCUGAUUUAUUUUCUUCAACUAUUUGGCUUCAAAUAUGAAGCUUAUCAUUAUGAACAUGUCUUUGCCUCUAUUAUUCCAUCUUUUGCUUCUUGCCUUUUGUUUUAUCCCUUCAUUUACUAGUGGAGCUACUCUAUUAGAAGAAGAAGGUAAGCACCUUAAUUAUAUUUGUAUUCUCUUAGUUAUAAAUUAUUAUCACCACAAUAUUACAUUACUAGAAAAUAUUUAAUUAUCAAUGCAUGUUAUAGAGACUAAAUAAAUUAAUCUUCAACUUUUGCACAUGUAACACUUAAUGACCAAAUUAGAAAUGACAAUUAGACCCGUAUCAAGUAGAUACCGGAAACCCACAAUAAGUAGGGUAAAAAUCCACAUUUUGGAUACAAGUACGAGUAUGUGUAAUUAUCNNNNNNNNNNNNNNNNNNNNNNNNNNNNNNNNNNNNNNNNNNNNNNNNNNNNNNNNNNNUAUAUAUAUAUAUAUAUCAAUUUAAAAAAAAAAUACAGAACUAUUAAACUAUUACACAUUUUUAAUAAAAGUGUUUAUUUAUAACAUAAAGCAAAUACAAUGUGUAUUUGUUAGCAGAGAUAUGAACUUUAACACGAGAUUAAUAAUAAUUUGUUUAUAAUUUUUAUGAGUCAACAUUAAAAUCUUUUAAAAAAAUUUAAUUCUAUUAAAAUUAUAUGAUAUUUUAUAAUUGAUCGAUUUAUUUUUAACAAAUAUACGGAUAAUGCGGUGCCGAUAUGGGUACUUAAAUACCUAUAUGAUAUGGUCACAGAUAAAUAUUAUUAACCACGUGUGUAUCAAUCUAGGUACGAGAAUUUUUCAAACUGCUAGUAUAAUGAUGCAUACUAUAGUACAGUUGCAAGACAAUAUGAUUGCAACAUUACGAAGAUGUAUAUAUAUAUGUUGGUUUUGAAUAUACAAAUUGGUCUUCUUUAAUUUUUUCAAACCCUUGUUUUUUAUUUUUUUCAUCUCUAGUUUUUGUUACUAACUCAUACUAUUUUUAGUAUAAUAAUAGGGAAACGUUCAAUUUUAAUUUGCUAAGACAAAAUGUUGCAACAUUAUGAUGAUGCAAAUAUGGUUAAUUUUGAUUGAAUUAAUAUGCACAGUACAAGUUAUGAAAGACAUAGGAAGGACACUUGGGAAGAAGGAUUGGGACUUCAGCAAAGAUCCAUGUAGUGGAGAAAGUAACUGGACAUCUUCUGUGCAAGUCAGUGGAUCUGAAAAUGCCGUCACUUGCAAUUGUUCUUUUGCCAAUGCUACUGUCUGCCAUAUUAUUAGCAUGUAUGUCCCCUGAUUUCCACCUGUGUGUAUCUCUUUUUUGUGUUUGCUGGAGAUAUCUUUUUGUGUAUAAUGCUCUCAGGACACUAGUUAAAGAUAUAAAAAAGGUAAUUUUUGAAUUGGAAACAUCACUUUUUUAUAUUUUACUAACAUUGACUACGCAAGUUUCAAGAUAUUUUUACUAUAUUGAGAUUCCUUAAUUAGUGUCCCGAGACACUAGUUAGCAUUUUCCUAAACAUUAUCCUCCGACUUGGGAGUCAGAAUCUUCCGUACUUCGUACUUGGUUAGCCUUUGUGUCAUUUCCCUUUCAUCACUUUAGCUCGUAUUUCAUAUCGGUAUAGUGUAUUUUUUCAAUCAAAUACCGUUGGUAGACCUGAUAAUUAUAACCGGCACAUCUUAUCUUCCUUAAAUUUACUCUUGAGACCUACCUUAAACGGUCAACCAUCACGGCCGAUAAAAGAAAGACAUUUAAACGGGCCGGCCGGACUUGAAACCAACUUCAUGGGCUUCCUUCCUUGCUCGUGUUAUUAUGAUUAAUCUCGGUUGAAGAACUCAACCUGACCACUUUUAAUGGGAUUUAGGAAAAAAAAGUCCCAAUAAAUAUAAAUGAUAGGAAAAAUCCCGAGAAAUAUGAUCAGCUACACCAAAUGACAUUACGUUGUCCAAAUAAAUUGAACUUGGGAUCUUUAAAUGAUGUCUUGAGAUCGAUUCUUAUAUAUAAAAAGUAAAAUAUAAUAGAAUUAUAUUUCUAAUCAUAUAAUAUUCAAGUAGCUUAUGAGCUUAUAACUUAUCAUUUUUUCUUCCAAUUUUAUCCCUAUCAUCUUACUUAAAAAAAAAUUAAAUAUUAAUUAAACAUAUCUUUUUUAUGUCAUUUCAUACUUAUAAGCUAGUUCAGUCGCUAAUUUUACCAAACACUACAAAUUCAAUCAGCUAGCUUAUAAGCUAUCCGCUAUAAGUUCAUCUGCUAUAAGCUAACUUAUCAGCUAUCUGCUAUUUUUUUACCAAACAGAGCCAUAACCUAGGACAUACUACUCAGGCUCGGUUUGGUAAAAAAUAGCGGAUAAUUGAUAAGCUAGCUUAUAGUGGAUGAACUUAUGGCUCGGUUUGGUAAAAAAUAGCGGGUAGCUGAUAAGCUAGCUUAUAGCGGAUAACAUAAGCUAGCUUUUAUCUUAUAGCGUAUAAGCUGGCUGAUUGAAUUUGUAGUGUUUGGUAAAAUUAAUGGUAAUACUAGCUUAUAAGUAUGAAAUAACAUAAAAAAAAGAUAUGUUUAAUAUUUAUUUAUUUUUGAGUAAGAUGAUAGGGGUAAAAUUGGAAGAAAAAUUAUAAGAUAUAAACACAUAAGCUACUUGAAAUAGCAUUUGAAAAUAAGCUAUAAGCUAGUAAAAUAAGCUAUAUAUAAGCUAAAAACUCCUGCUAUAAGCUAGCUUAUUGACCUUCUCAAACAGAGCUUAUAGCAGAUAGCUUAUAAGUUACUCCGUACCACAAUAUAUGUCACUUUGGCCAAAUUACGCAAAUUAAGAAAUAUAAUUAUUGUUGUAUGGAAAAUAGAAAUUAUGAGUUAGUUUACAAAAUUAUCCUUCAUUAAUGGUAUAAGAAAGAUAAAUUGAAUAAUUGAAGGAAUAUAAAGUAAUAAAUAGUGAAGAGUAUAAUAGGAAAAUUAGCAUUAAAUACUUCAUUGAUAAUGUAAAGUAACUUAUAAUAUGGUACAAAAUUUUUUUCUCAAAGUGACUUAUAAUUUGGUAGGAGGGAGCCGACUUUUAGCUUUUGCUUAUAAACUGUUACGACUAUAAACUAGCAUUGGCCUUCCCAAAACCCUCAAAUUGAUCACCAUCAACUAGCUAGUGACUUAAAAUAAUUUGGCUUAAAUGCAAUUUUGAUCUUUUAUUUUCAAUUUUUUGAAGUUUUAAUCCCCCUGUUUUAAAAGCCAUAAUUUCUGUCCCCUUUCAGUUUUAUAGUCAAUUUUGAUGAUGUGUCAAAGACAUUAAUAAGAUGGCAUUGCACACUUGGCUAAAACAUUAUAUAUGUCACUAAACUUUUCUUCUAUUUCAAUAAUAUUUUUUGAAAAAAAUAUCUUACUUAUUAAAAUAAUAGUAUAUUAAAUUAAUAUAAAUAUUUUUGAAAUAUUAUUUUAAUAAUUAUUUGUUUUUAAAAUAAAUAUUAUUGAAAUAAAAGAAAAGUUUAAUGACAUGGAUGGUAUUUUGGUUAAGUGUGUAGUGAUACUCAUUAAAAUUGAUUCUAAAAUACAAUCCCCCCAAAAAAAAUUAAUUCUAAAAUUGAGUGGAGCACCAAAACUCGAGAAAAAUUGAAAUAGGAAACUAAAAUAUUAGUUUUUAAAAUAGGCGAUCAAAACUUCAAAAAAAAAUUAAAAAUAGAGGAUGCAAAUUACAUUUAAACCAAAUAAUUGAUACCAUAGCACCUCAAAUUAUGUGUUCUUCUCGUUCCAAUUCCAUGAACCCAUUAAGUCGCUUUUUUGUGUUUAGAAAUAAAACUUAAUUUUUUUGUGUUUAAAAACCAGAAUCCCACCAAAAAUAGAAGAUGAAAAAAUAAAAAUGUGAAAAAUGAAAAAUAGAAGAAAAAGAAACCCACUGCUUCAUCUUCUGGUCACCAUUGAUUGCUUCACUGCUAGAUGCAGAUGAAAUCGUACAAGAGUUAGGAGUUGCAGGUAACUGUUUCAAAAUCUCAGAUGAAGCCUUAAUUGUUUGUAGUAGUCUUCAUAGAAACACUGAAGAGAGAAUGGAAUGGUCAACAAAGAAUCAUCAUGGUGAAACGGGAACAAAGCAAUUUAGGGAUUUCAUUUUUUUGUUUGUUUUCAUUUUGUCUUUUGUUUUAAUAUUUUUAUUUUUAAUCUUUUUAUUCUAAAUGAUAAAUGAUAGAAAUGCCACGUGAUAAUGAUUAUGUGAGAAAAAACUUGUACAGUCAGCAUGUGUAGAUUUUGAUGAUGUGGCCGUUUGGAUUGACUUAUUCGAAUAAAUAAACUUUUAUGUAUUAUUAUCCGUUUUUCAAUGUAGUUUAUGAGAAAACAACUUAUAAAAAUACAAUUUUUGUAAGUGAAAACUUAUGAAUUAACAUAAAACUUUAUUUAUUUGUAUAAGUUAUUUUCAUAAGCUCAAAAAUAAGCUGAAUCCAAACUGACCCUAAAUGAGUGUGAAAAGUGGAUUAUCAGAAAUGUUAGGAUAAAACUCUUAAACAUCGUAGUUUGUUCCCACAGGACUCUAGAUAUUAGUCUGCGCGCAGAGAAUGUUCGGUUUACGACAAUAAAAAGAAUGUUAGGGAUAAAAAAUGAACUUACAUUUUUUAAUAGCGACAAAAACUAGAUUCCCCCUAUUUUACAGGGACCAAAAGGGAUAUUAACCCUUAAAUAAAAGUUGCAUUCUCUUGUUAAUUAUUGUAUUACAUACAAGUCAUUUAACCAGUGAUUUUGCAGUGUUCUGAAGUCACAAAAUCUUUCUGGCACACUUCCAAGUGAACUUGAGAGAUUGCCAUACCUCCAAGAAAUGUAUGUUAUCAUUCUAAAACCUUACUACUAAAUUUGUAUUUUAUCAUUAAGUUAUCAUAAUUUUAGUUGUAUGUUUGAUUCUGUAUGCUCAUUGUGGUACUACUUACAGUGAUCUCACACUCAACUACCUUAAUGGUACAAUCCCUCCACAAUGGGCUUCCAUGACCAAUCUUGUCAUCAUGUAUUUUCCCUUAACCCUAUUCUUUCAUUUCUUGCUAUUAUUUGAUUAAUGACAUUUACUUAGUAAAUGAUUCAGAGAAAUGGGUCAUGGUUUAUAUAAUUUUGGAAUAAAUAUACAAUCUUCUAAGUAGUUUUGCAUGCUUCUUAAUUUUGUGACAGUUCACUAUAUGGAAAUCGGCUAACUGGUUCAAUCCCAAGAGAACUUGGAAAUAUCACCACCCUCAAAACCUUGUAAGUCAUUUUUCUCAUGCCAAUUUUGUAUAAUUUACCAAGGAACUUAUAAAGUUUUGAAACUUGAAAUGUAUAGGGUUCUAGAGUUCAAUCAAUUAUCUGGAAACCUUCCUGCAGAGCUUGGGAAUCUUCACCAGCUUGAAACUCUGUAAGCCCCUUUCUCGAACUCCAAAUUGAUCACAUUUUCUAUAUUUCAACGUUGUUUUUAGAAUUGAAAGUUUGGCCUAACUCAUCCAUACAAAACCGACUUGUAAGGUGAUGAUUACCCUCAUAAACAUAUAUUUAAGCAAUAUCGCAACCGAUGUGGUACUUCUUAACAGUUGUCAAAUAGUAGUUAUAGUACUUUAGCACUAUAGUGUAGCAGAACUUUCACUACAGGAAAAGCUAUUGUUUUAGGAUGCAUGAUUUAGUUUUAUGUAUUGUCAAAUAGCGGCUAUAGUAGUGCCAUAGUGUUAAAGCAUAGUGGAAUUUGAACAAACUGCUAUUAUUUUAUUUUUUUGCAUCUACGAUUGACAAUACUGCUAUAUUUUGUUUGAAUUGGUUGAUUUAUUUUUAACUACCGAAAAUUUAUAUUCAGUGUUCAUUAGAAUUUUUUUUAUCUACAUUGUAUGCCUUUGAUUAUGAUUCUUUGAAGGAUUAGAUAACUCAGAUUCCUACACCUAGAAAAUAAGUGUGAUUUUAUCGCAAUCCGUAAUUCUCAUUUUAAUGUUGUUGUAGGCUUCUUACCUCCAACAAUUUUACUGGAAAUUUACCUGUAACAUUUGCUAACCUCACUAAGUUGAACCACGUGUAAGUAUUCUUUUCUUUUAGUUGCUUUUGUUACUCUAAAUUACGCCCACUGUAUUGCUGAUUAUAUCAAGAUCAAAUAACAUUUCUUUGUUGUUACCCUCUAACAACGCAGUCGACUUGGCGGCAAUCAAUUCUCUGGAACCUUACCUGAUUUCAUUCAGAGUUGGACAGGUCUUAAAAGGCUGUAUGAACCUUUUCUUUCUUGUUGUGAAAUUCUAAAUUAUCAAAUUAUAAAAGACAAUUAUGUCAACAAAAAUAAAUGUAUCUGUUCAUAUUAUUUAUUGGCUUAUCAAAAGAACAAAUUUUAAUUUCGACAGGGUGAUGCAAGGGAGUGGUUUGAGUGGCCCAGUUCCUUCUGGAAUUUCAUAUCUAAAAAACCUCACUGAUUUGUAAGUAUGAUGUUUAUUGUUGUCGUCUAUGUAGCACGGACACUUCAUAUUGAUGGCAUGUUCGGCGUUUGACACUAACCCGACACCGACAUACGUAAAUACAUUUAAUAUCACUUCCAUUUUUUCAAAUUAUUACUUCUGUCUGCAUGUCAGUAUCGAUUUUGGUGUUUAAAUUUGUCUCGGUGCUUCAUAGAUUGUGUGUGGUCAAGGAUUCUUUUCCUUCUUUUUAUUGAGUUUCAAAAUACUUAAGAUAUGUUAUGCAGGAAAAUAAGUGACUUGAAAGGACCAGAUUCUCCUUUUCCGCAACUUAUUAACUUGACAGUUCUGCAAACAUUGUGAGUGAAUUUUUUGUUGGUUUUUGUUAUAGAAAAAUAAAACCUAGAUGUUAUAGCCUUUUUACACUUAAACUUUACAUAUCAUCAAAUUGUUUGACAGAGUACUGAGGAGUUGCAAUCUUAUAGGAACAGUUCCUGAAUAUCUUGGUAAUAUUACCACUUUAAGAAACUUGUAAGUAAUGCAGUUAUUUUGAAUACGUUCUGGUUGGUGUUAUGCUUGGAAGUUUCAUGCAUUAUUCAUAUGCUUUUAGAACAGGAUGCUUCAUUAAGAAGCUUUUCUGAAACCAUUAUUUUCUCGAGUAAUACUACCUAUUCUGAAAGUUAUUUCCUUUUCAGAGACCUCAGUUUUAACAAAUUAAGUGGACAGAUUCCGAACACCUUGGGCGUCCUCGAGAACAUAAAUAUUCUGUAAGCAAUAUCCUCUAGUUUUUAGGCCUGAACUAGGGUGGCUAACUAAAUAAAUAGUUUGAUUCAUCAAUUAAUGGUAAGUAUUAUAAAUUGACUUAUCUUAUUGUUUUACCUAGAUUCUUAACUGGAAACCUUUUUACCGGGCCACUUCCAAAUUGGAUUGCUAGACCAGACUACACGUGAGUAAUCCUUCAAAUGCUACUUAUCGAUUUUUCAUAUUUCCAUACCACAAAAUGUUACAUUACAUAUAGUUGUUUGUUCCAUCUUUAAUUCUGAAUCAUAUUUAUAAAUUGACACAGAGAUCUAUCAUAUAACAACUUGAGCAUUGCAAAUCCAGAGCAGUUGACAUGUCAACAAGGAACGGUGUAAGAAUCAAAUUUUUGAUAUUUGCGUACUUUUCUGUUUCAAUAAUUUUAAGAAACAAACUAAUCUUUCGCUAUUUAUCAUGUGGCUUAGGAACUUGUUUGCAUCAUCUUCAAAGAGAAGUAACUUGUAAGAUUUAUACUAUUCAUAAGUCAAAAUAAACUGUUUUACAUGAUUAUGCUUACAUGUUACACACCUUCAUUAUUUUCUCAGGGGAAUGGUUUCAUGUUUGGGGAACAAUGGCUGUCCUAAAAGUAAGUUGAUUUGUCAUGGAUUUCCUUUAGAUUGUUCAUUUCAAUUUAUUGAUAACUUUUUCUAAUGUCACUCCAGAGUCCUACUCUCUCCAUAUCAAUUGUGGUGGGAAGUCCAUAACUUCUAAUAAAAGCUUGACAUAUGACGAUGAUUCAAAUGAAGUUGGACCAGCAAGCUUUCACCUGAGUGGUUCGAACUGGGCUCUUAGCAACACUGGUCACUUCUUUGAUAGUGGCCUUAAGGACUACUAUACUUGGUCUAAUAAAACUAAUCUUGUCAUGGAAGAUGCCGAACUGUAUACGGAUGCACGUGUUUCUCCUCUUUCUCUAACAUAUUAUGGAUUUUGCCUGGGAAAUGGAAACUAUACAGUAAAUCUCCAUUUUGCCGAGAUAAUGUUUACAGAUGAUCAAACAUAUAGCAGCCUUGGAAGGCGUAUAUUUGACAUCUAUAUUCAGGUGAAUGAUCUCAUCAUAUUAUCUUUGUCAUUAAGUGAUUAAGUUGUUUAUUAUUGAACAAACUUCCUUUGACCAUAAUGAACCAUGUGUGUUUUGAUUGAAGUAUUGCAGGGAAGGUUGGUGCUGAAGGAUUUCAAUAUUGCAAAAGAAGCCGGUGGAGUUGGUAAGGCAGUCAUAAAGAAGUUCACUGCUAUUGUGACUAAUAAUAACUUGGAGAUUCGCCUUCUUUGGGCUGGGAAAGGGACCACUGCUAUUCCAUUUGGAUCAGUAUAUGGUCCUCUUAUAUCGGCUAUAUCGGUUGUUCCAGGUCAGUAAUAGUUCUUCAUGGUUCUUCUUACACCAGCUUUUUUUCUUAUGUUUCUUAUAAAGUCAUUCUCAUCCUCUAAUCCAAUCUAUAUGUAAAUCUCCUGUACCAUAAUCAUGCAGAAUUUACACCCCCAGUGGAAAAAAAAGGAAGUAGCAUAUCUGUGGGGAGUAUUGUGGCAAUAGUAGUUGCUGGAGCACUAGUUUUCUUAAUUGUAUUUGGCAUAGCUUGGUGGAAAAUAUGUCGACGUAAGAUAGGUCCAUUAGAUAGAGGUAAGCAUUAAGAAGAUUCUUUAACUGUCUAACACUCGUGAAAGGAAAGGCUAGUUAUAUCUUAGGAUCAUGUUAUUGAACGUUGAGUCUAGUUAUAUCUUGAUAACAAGAAAGUUGCAAGCUUACUACAAAUGGAUUGUCUAUGUAGAGUAUCCAUAUUUAGUGUAAGAGAUCUUUGAUCUUUCUUUUACUUCAAUUAACAGAGCUGCAGAAUUUAGACCUUCAAACGGGUUUAUUUACAUUGAGACAAAUCAAAGAAGCGACAAACAACUUUGAUAUUUCAAAUAAGAUUGGAGAAGGAGGAUUCGGUCCUGUGUACAAGGUAUUUUUCAUACUAUAAUAAAUCCUCUUGGGUUACAAUUAUUUUAUUAUAAUUUUACAUGUCUUUUUCAACUUCUAACAAAAUAACAUUCCCCAAAAUGGUAGGGACGUUUGUCCAAUGGGACAUUGAUAGCAGUCAAACAACUUUCUUCUAAAUCAAAGCAAGGGAAUCGCGAGUUUUUAAACGAGAUAGGCAUGAUUUCGGCUUUGCAACACCCUUAUCUUGUUAAACUCUAUGGUUGUUGUGUGGAGGGAGAUCAGUUGUUGCUCAUAUAUGAAUACUUGGCAAACAAUAGUCUUGCUCGUGCUUUAUUUGGUAAUUUUUCCUAUAUUGUCUAUUUCGGUUGCUAUUUAUGUUUUAGUCCACAUUUUCUUACAUAGCACAUUACUAUGCGGUAUCGUGUUUUUAUUUUUAUUACAUUCACAAAUAAAGGUCCAGAGGAACACCAAAUAAGAUUAGAUUGGUCGAGAAGGAAGAAGAUAUGUGUUGGUAUUGCUAGAGGUUUGGCAUUUCUUCAUGAAGAAUCAAGACUGAAGGUUGUUCAUCGGGACAUCAAGGCCACUAAUGUGUUACUUAAUACGGAUCUCGACCCAAAGAUAUCUGAUUUUGGUUUAGCCAAGCUUGAUGAAGAGGACAAUACUCACAUUAGCACUAGAAUUGCUGGUACCUAGUGAGUAACUAUAAUUCUGCCUUCUCCGAGCUUACUAAAAAAUACUACAAAAAAUUAUCGAACUUAAUUUAAAUUUGAAAUUAUAUAAUAUAAAAGUCUGAUUUGAUGUUGGAUACUUAUAUCAAAUUAUUGCAAUGAUAUGUUACAAUUAUGCAGUGGAUAUAUGGCUCCUGAAUAUGCAAUGCAUGGUUAUUUGACGGACAAAGCAGAUGUUUAUAGUUUUGGAAUUGUUGCCUUGGAAAUCGUUAGUGGAAAGAGCAACACCCUUUAUCGGACAAAGGAAGAAGCAUUCUAUCUUCUUGAUUGGGUAACUUUAUGAUAUUCUUCCUUGUUCAUGUAAUUUUGAUUAUGCAUAGUAAGUAGAUAUUACUAUGACUUGGGUUUCAUAAAACUACUUUGUUUCAAUAGGCACAUUCGUUGAGAGAAAGUGGUGACCUAAUGGAACUCAUUGAUAGAAGAUUAGGUUCAGAUUUGAAUAAAAAAGAAGCUCUGGUGAUGAUCAAUGUGGCUCUUCUGUGCACCAAUGUCACCGCAAACCUUAGGCCCUCUAUGUCGUCAGUGGUAAGUAUGCUUGAAGGAAACACUGUGGUUCCAGAAUUUGUAGAUUCAAGUGAAGUAAUGGAUGAAAAGAAGAUGGAAGUGAUGAGGAAGCAUUACUAUAAGAUUGAAGAAACUGAGAUAAGUAAGUCAGAGACACAAACUCAGAGUUUAUUAAGUGAUGGACCAUGGACUGCUACAUCUUCAUCAGGCGUAGACCUUUAUCCUAUCCACAGUGGUUCUUCCUAUUUGGAGGGAAGAAGUUAAGUGUGUUUGUUGAUCAUGAAUUGCAUUUGUCAGCUUGAAGUCCUGCAACUAUGUCCUGUGAUGAAACCUUGAUGCAUAUAUCUUCAAAACUGAGUACUACCUCUGUCCAUAUUUACUAUGUCCUGUGAUGUAGUAACUGUUCCAAUGCUUUUUAUGAAUACUAUAGUUGUUGAAGCUUAAGAAGUGGUGAAUAGGUUUUCCUUAAAAGAUCAUACCUCAAAUACUCAAAUAUAUACUGUAUAAUAUAAUUUUUUAUUUUUUACAUACCUUAUAUAAGUUGUCAAGCUGAACAUGCA